UACAGAGGGUGCAAGCGUUAAUCGGAAUCACUGGGCGUAAAGGGUGCGUAGGCGGGUUUUAAGUCAGAGGUGAAAUCCUGGAGCUCAACUCCAGAACUGCCUUGAUACUGAAAGUCUUGAGUAUGGGAGAGGUGAGUGGAACUGCGAGUGUAGAGGUGAAAUUCGUAGAUAUUCGCAAGAACACCAGUGGCGAAGGCGGCUCACUGGCCCGAUACUGACGCUGAGGUGCGAAAGCGUGGGGAGCAAACAGG
rnacentral:rRNA from 1 species